UCAGAGGGCCGGGCGGCCGCUGCUGCGAGAGGGGAAACCCUGCAGGAGAGGAAAGUCCGGGCUCCAUGGAGGCAAGGCGCCGGGGAAAUCCCGGCGGGCCGGUUCGCCGGUUCAGGGACAGCGCCGCAGAAAUCAGACCGCCGCACUCAGGUGCGGCAAGGGUGAAACGGUGGGGUAAGAGCCCACCGCCCCGACCGCAAGGAAGGGGGCACGGCAAGCCCCGCCUGGAGCAAGACCGAAUAGGGACCCGCGCUGUGCUUCGGCGCAGCAGACGCGCCUCCGCGUCGAGGUCCGGGUAGGUUGCUGGAGGCGUCGUGCAAGCGGCGUCCUAGAGGAAUGGUCGCCCCCGGUCAUCACAUGGGAUGACAUGGGACAGAACCCGGCUUACAGGCCCUCUGAUCCU
rnacentral:RNase_P_RNA from 18 species